UACAGAGGUCCCAAGCGUUGUUCGGAUUCAUUGGGCGUAAAGGGUGCGUAGGCGGUGCCGCAAGUCAGAUGUGAAAUCUCGGGGCUUAACCCCGAAACUGCAUUUGAUACUGCGGUGCUCGAGGACUGGAGAGGAGACUGGAAUUCACGGUGUAGCAGUGAAAUGCGUAGAUAUCGUGAGGAAGGCCAGUGGCGAAGGCGGCUAACUGGUCCAGUACUGACGCUGAGGUGCGAAAGCGUGGGGAGCAAACAGG
rnacentral:rRNA from 1 species